rnacentral:tRNA from 1 species
GGGUUCUUAGCUCAGCUGGUUAGAGCAUCUGUCUUACACACAGAAGGUCGCAGGUUCGAAUCCCGCAGGGCCCAC